GCUGGUGUGGCGGAAUGGCAGACGCAGCGGACUUAAAAUCCGCAGAGGCGAAAGUCUCGUGGGGGUUCGAGUCCCCCCACCAGCA
rnacentral:tRNA from 1 species